AAAGUCGUAACAAGGUUUCCGUAGGUGAACCUGCGGAAGGAUCAUUCAUGUAUUAUUACAUAAAGGCGUGCUUACCACGCUGAAGGUAAAAACAUAUCCUCGCUAAGAUCUCCAGGAAGAGUCGUAUUAAACACUGCCGUACGAAAGUAUAGGUUACGAAUGGAGACGGGGGUGAAAGACCCUCGAGAUCCAAAAAUGGACCAGUGUCCCUGAAGAUCAUCCAGUGUGGAAAUUUCCUUAGCGAGGAGGUCUAACCUCCACAUUCUUGUGCACAGUAUACAAACCCACGUUAACCUCACGUCUGAAUGAUAAUCAUUUCGAUCGGCUACGGUUGAAUAUGUAAAAUCACAAACAACUUUUAACAAUGGAUCUCUUGGCUCUC
rnacentral:misc_RNA from 1 species